rnacentral:lncRNA from 1 species
GACAAUGAAAAUAAAUUGACAAUGAAAAUAUCCUAUUUAAAAGCUCCCACCUUAAGGUACCCUAGGUACUACCUUAGCUAAACAUGAACUCAACCUCUCCCAAGCCUUGGGUCUUCCUUUGUGACCCUUAGAGCAUCCCAUUAUGUGGUUCUCUUGAGUGCUCAGGUGGUCCACCAAUGGUUUUUUGGGACUGUACCUUAGGUACACCUUAAUGACCUUUAAGUAUUACCUUAAGAGACCCUAGGUACUACCUUAACUAAACUUGAACUCAACCUCUCCCAAGCCUCGGGCUUUCCUUUGUGAGCCUUAGAGCAUCUCAUUAUGUGGUUCUCUUGAGUGCUCAAGUGGUCCACCAAAGGUUUUUUGCAAUUGUACCUUAGGUACUACCUUAAGAGCCCUUAGGUACUACCUUAAUGGCCUUUAGGUACUACCUUAAGGGACCCUAGGUACUACCUUAGCUAAACAUGAACUCAACCUCUCCCAAGCCUCGGGUCUUCCUUUGUGACCCUUAGAGCAUCCCAUUAUGCGGUUCUCUUGAGUGCUCAAGAGGUUCAUCAAAGGUUUUUUGGGACUGUACCUUAAGUACUACCUUAAGGGCCCUUAGGUACUACCUUAAUGACCUUUAGGUACUAGCUUAAGGGACCCUAGGUACUACCUUAAGGUAAACAUGAACUCAACCUCUCCCAAGCCUCGGGCCUUCUUUUGUGACCCUUAAAGCAUCCCAUUAUGUGGUUCUCUUGAGUGCUCAAGUGGUCUACCAAUGGUUUUUUGGGACUGUACCUUAGGUACUACCUUAAGGGCCCUUAGGUACUACCUUAAUGGCCCUUAGGUACUACCUUAAGGGACCCUAGUUAUUACCUUAGCUAAACAUGAACUCAACCUCUCCCA